GAAAGCAAAACGAACAUGAUCCUUCCCAAUGUUUCAAACCUCCCUUCAUUCUGAAACACGAUCUGAACAUCUCCGGGGACGGCAAAAACAAUCCGACGGCCACACGAACAUCAAGACGUACAAUCCCUCAUUUUCGAUCUGAAUCCUUCCAUCGUUUCGUGCAUUCGUACUUCCAACCUCCAUUGAAGCUCCAAAAUCGCCUCCUGUAGCUCGUGUCCUUCAACCAACCAUUGAAGAGGGAAUGCUCAUCAAUUCUGAAACGCAGUGAGGAUAGUGAAUUGGAAGGGUUUCAAAACUUGCAGACCUUAUGCAAAUCACCACUGCAGAAUUUAGUCACUAGCACGAAAUUAUUGACUUACCUUGUUAAAGAUUGCAUGGUUGUGGACUUUGUGUUAUGGGAUGGUUUGAAGAUUACCUUUUUUGCUUGGUUGUAGACUUAGCAUGGAUUGGGAGCUUUUGUAAAUUUGUAGUGAAUUGUAAUGUGAAUAUUGUAAUGAACAAUGGAUUUGAAGAAAAUUAUGACUUGUUAUUUGAAUGGGAAAUGAUUGAAAAUGGUUUGUGGAAUUUGAACUUAAAAAUGGUAGGUUGUUAUUUGAAUGUAUAAAGUAAAAUUGGAAAUAAGAAUUGAAAUGUUACUUUAAAUUGCAAUUUGAAUUAGAA